rnacentral:rRNA from 1 species
ACGGGGUGCAGCAGGCGCGAAACCUCCACAAUGCGCGAAAGCGUGAUGGGGUUAUCCCGAGUGCCGUCCGAUGAGGAUGGCUUUUUAUCGAUGUAAGGAUUCGAUAGAAUAAAGGGGGGGCAAGACUGGUGUCAGCCGCCGCGGUAAUACCAGCCCCCUGAGUGGUAAGGACGAUUAUUUGGCCUAAAGCGUUCGUAGCCGGCUUAUCAAGUCUUUUGUUAAAUCCAACGAUUUAAUCGUUGGGCCGCAAAAGAUACUGUUAUGCUAGAGGACGGGAGAGGUCGACGGUAGUCCAGGGGUAGGGGUGAAAUCCUAUAAUCCUUGGAGGACCACCAGUGGCGAAGGCGGUCGACUAGAACGUGCCUGACGGUGAGGGACGAAAGCUGGGGGAGCGAACCGGAUUAGAUACCCGGGUAGUCCCAGCUGUAAACGAUGCGGGCUAGGUGUUGGGGCAGCCACGAGCUGCUCCAGUGCCGCAGAGAAGUUGUUAAGCCCGCCGCCUGGGAGUACGCCGCAAGGC